rnacentral:rRNA from 1 species
ACUGGGUGUAAAGGGAGCGUAGACGGUGAUGUAAGUCUGGAGUGAAAGGCGGGGGCCCAACCCCCGGACUGCUCUGGAAACUAUGUGACUGGAGUGCAGGAGAGGUGAGCGGAAUUCCUAGUGUAGCGGUGAAAUGCGUAGAUAUUAGGAGGAACACCAGUGGCGAAGGCGGCUCACUGGACUGUAACUGACGUUGAGGCUCGAAAGCGUGGGGAGCAAACAGGAUUAGAUACCCUUGUAGUCC